CGCCGCGCCGCGCCCUCCCUCCCCACCCGGGGAUGGGGGACGCGGGGCGGAGACUGGCCUCCCGUGCGCUCCUGCGCGCGGAUGGCCCAAAUGGGAUCCCUCGGCGACGCGCGUCACGGCCAUUGGUGGUUGAUCAAUCGACUCGCGUGCCGUCGUGCUCCGCUGCGUCGCCCGCGAGGGCAUCCGAACGGACCCAACGCGCCUCGCGCCACGAUCC
rnacentral:misc_RNA from 1 species